rnacentral:rRNA from 1 species
CUGUAAACGAUGCGGGCCAGGUGUUGGGCGGGCUUUGAGCCCGCCCAGUGCCGCAGGGAAGCCGUUAAGCCCGCCGCCUGGGGAGUACGGCCGCAAUGCUGAAACUUAAAGGAAUUGGCGGGGGAGCACCACAAGGGGUGGAGCCUGCGGCUUAAUUGGAGUCAACGCCGGGAAUCUUACCGGGGGCGACAGCAGGAUGACGGCCAGGCUAACGACCUUGCCUGACGCGCUGAGAGGAGGUGCAUGGCCGUCGCCAGCUCGUGCCGUGAGGCGUCCGGUUAAGUCCGGCAACGAGCGAGAUCCCCACCCCCAGUUGCUAUCCCGGUCUCUGGACCGGGAGCACACUGGGGGGACUGCCGCCGAUAAGGCGGAGGAAGGAGGGGGCCACGGCAGGUCAGCAUGCCCCGAAUCCCCCGGGCUGCACGCGGGCUACAAUGGCGGGGACAGCGGGUGCCGACCCCGAAAGGGGGAGGCAAUCCCUGAAACCCCGCCGUGGUUGGGAUCGAGGGCUGAAACUCGCCCUCGUGAACGUGGAAUCCCUAGUAACCGCGCGUCAACAUCGCGCGGUGAAUACGUCCUGCUCCUUGCACACACCGCCCGUAA